UUAAUAUUCCUUUUUCGGUAAUUUAGCAGUUCCUGCAAUUGAGCAGUACGUUGGUCCCUAAUUUUGACCCUCCAAAACUAGGACGAAAAUUUGUUUCUAUUAUGUCCCAAAAUUAAUUUUCCAAAAAAUAUCGAUUAACAAUGGUUUUUAAAAAUGGUAAAAUGUUCCCAAAUAAGUCCAAAAUUAAAAUGUUUUAUUUCCGAUUUACUAAUAUUUUUUUUGUUUUUGAAAAGAUUUUUUCGGACAUUUUUUUGGUUAAAAAUAAAUUCUUGGUUGAAAAAUCCAAUAUUUUGACAGAAAAUAACGCAAAAAGUAACCAGCAAAAUGCUGCGUAUGGUUAAAAUCGAUUUUGAAGCGUUUUAUAUAUUGCCUGGUUGCAACAAAUUUCCUUACGCAAAUUUACCUAAAGACCGAAACGGAUAUAUUAUACCAAGCCGAGGCAGUUUUAACCGAUAUCCAAACCCGAUCCGAGGCAGGAUGAAAUUAGUAAAAUAGGCCAUUUCCGGUCACCACCCACAAUAUAGAAGAAAAAAUCCAGGUGUAAUUAAUCGGUAUUAUAUUAUAUUUUCGAUUUUGUUAUGUUUUUUGACGGAUAUAUAUUGGAUUAUUGGAAAUGCCCGAUAUUUUGCUAUGUAAAAAUAACAAAAAUAUUUAAAAGCGGCACAGUCCUUAUUUUUAUAACGUGAAAUUUACGAUUAUAUAUAUAACCAAGUGCCCAUUAUCCUUGGCAAACAUGGACCCAGAAGAUUUUAAGGGAGGUUUUCUUUACAAUAUCGACCCAUAAGGCAACCAGGUGUAAUUUCCCCUGGCCUGCAAAUUGUAUAUAACCGCUUAUUUACCUCCUUAUAUUUGUCAAAUUUUUUUUUUUUAUCAAUGGUUUUAAUACGAGAUUUUCAAAUAUUGCGAGCCUUCGUACCUCAACCCUCCAAUCUUCCUGGUAAUUUUACCAAAAUCUUUUUCGUUUUACCAAUUAUUUCUAUUAUUACCAUUAUAUCCUUUAAUAUCGCUUUUUAUAAAUUGCAGCAAAAUUAUCCACUUUCUUUUAAAAGUUAAAACCACAGCAAUUUGUUAUUAUGGGCACCAAAAAAUAGAAAAUAUACGGGGAAAUCGUAAUGGAACGUGUUUUAGCAAACGGGCUUCCAACUGAUUUUUCACAAAUUAGUGACAAUUAAUUACGCAAAAUAUUUCGUGAAAAGACCAAGAAAUGUUAUAACGACGCGUUUAUAAUAUAAUUUUGGUAAAAAAGCCUUUUGAUUUAUAUUAAAAUACCUAAAACUAAAUAAAUCUUUUUUUAAUUAUAUAAAGUCACAAGGACCUUCGGACCCCCGAGAUAUGCGAGUUAUAAAACAUUUCGUCAAAAUAUUGGCCUUGGGGAAAAAGGGUAAAUUUGACAAAGUUUAUGGGCGACCGACAGUGGAUAGUUUAAAAUGUUUUACGCGCCAUUUUUGCAAUACGUGGGAACGAUACCAUAAAACAAACAUACCACCAGAAAUAAAACAUUUAAUAGCAUAUGUAAAUACUUUUUUAAUUUUUUAUUAAAUGUUUCGUUCCUUUUUCAAAAUAUUAAAAAAAGAUUUGUUAAUAUAAAUAAAAUCCUAAUAUUUGUAAGCAGUAUAUUUAAAGUAAAUUAGUAAACGAGUUUGGUUUAAAAAACCUACGCAAAAAACAAACGUUCCUUACAAUAGAAAAUUUUGUAAAAUUGCAUUAAUUUUUAUAAUUUAAAAACUUCCAUAAUUACGUAUAUAAAGGGUAUUGGGUAAACGACGCCAAUUUAUUAAACAUAUAUUAUUUCAAUUUUGUUAGGGUAAUAAAGUUAUAUAGAGCAAAAUACAAGGUAAAAUGCUCUUUUAAUCCCAUAUUAUCUAAUUAAAGCUGAUUUUGAAAUAGGAUUUCGUCUUAUUAAUUGGCUGGAAAGACGGAAAGGCUAAAUUUAAAUUGAAAGUACGAAGGGCAAUUUAUAAAGGAAAAAACGAUAGGCAGUAAGUUGAUCCGCCAUCAAAUACCCGUAAUGCAAUUGCUUAUUUUUGCUUAAACCAAAAUAUAUUAUACCAGAAAGGAUAUCGUCAAACUCCGGCCCGCCGCCUUUAUAUUUACAACCAAUGCUUUUUUGGUUGGCAAAUAUUAUUUUUUUUAAAGUUAUAAAAGGGAAUCCUUUAUUGCAAAAAAUUUUGCAAAUUGUACCUUAAAAGGGCCGAAACCACCGAAUUAUAUCGUUCGCGGAUAAUUUGAAAAAUUAUCCAGUUUUUCCCAUAUGGACGAAGACUGGUUCUAAAUAUAAUGCGAGAAAUUCAAAUAGCGUAUUACAGCAUAUUUUAAAUUGGGCAAAGCGCGCAAAAUUCGUAAAUGGUAUUGGCGGCCUUUAUAACGCACGAAAGGAAACCUUUGUUAAAACUAACGGUAAAAGAUUAGCGUUUUACCAUUUCCAUAUUAUACUAAUUUUAUUAUAGGAGAUAAUGGUUAAUCGGUCGAGCAACUCCAAUUUUUUGCGGAUUAUAGAAAUUUAUCAGUUUUUUAAAGGUAUUAUUUGGGUGUAAUAAAUAUAGUGGAUGGCGUGGCAAAUUAUUUGGGGAUGGAUAUUAGGCGUGAUUUUAUUAAAGACUUCCGAUCGGCAACGAUAAAAUGGGAUAGCGAUCUGGUUUUGCAAUUUCCGGCACGGGAAAUCGACCAGCUGAAAUAAAACGAGGAAUAUAUUCGAUUGAAAGAACAUAUUUUUACAUUUAACAUUCUUAUCGACGGCGCCCUUUUUAAAAAAAAGGAAUACGAGCAAUAUAUAGCCGCUCGCAAACAGGCGUACGAAAAUCGUCGAAAAUUCGUAAAACAAAAACUUUAAGAAUACCGGCAAUAUAUAACUAAUUAGCAGAACGAUUAGCACCGGGACCACCUUUUUCGCGUAAUUUAUAUAAUGCCUGAACGCCACCGGCUGCUGCGCAUUUUGGCUCAAAAAGAACCGCUUCGAAGUCCAACAGGCAUUUUAACGCUGGAAAAUUUUAUUGUUUUUCGCACAGGGGAUUGGCAGGUCGCAUACCAAUCUCAGCUAAGGCCUGAAAACGGCAUAUACCCCGUAAAAUUCUGCAAUAAAAUAAUUGAAAAGUAAUUGUAAAACAUAAUAUGCCAACAAUAUACGCUAAUUACCCCAAAACACGUUGCUAAUUACUUAUAUUGGUUUUUAACCUCCACGUUUCGCAAAAAUGGUUGCAUAUAUAUCGAUAUUUUGAAAAGCGUUUUAAAAACGACUACAAAUUCGCCAAAUUUUGUUUUUUAUAUAGCCAUUGGGUUAUAAAUAAACAGGAAUGGGAACACCAUUGCCAAAAAUAUAUUAACGACGGGGAUAUACCAUUUCGAUAUGAUCCCGUUAUUUUCCGGCACGCCUAUACGUAUGCUGGAUAUUAUCCUAUUCAUUUAGGCCGGACAGAUAUCCUUGCGAGCGAGCGGAUGAAAAUAUAUAUAAAUUUAAAAAUCUGGCGACUGCAUAUUUCGAAAUGCGUCACUAAUUAUAUAACAAUUGGGCUUCAUUUUAAUAAUUUCAAAUGCCCAUAUCCAAAUUGUUUUGCUCCAAUGGAUUCAGGGGAAAGCCUUUGGUAUUAUUUCCAAGAUAUCCACAACGUCGAAAAUGCGUCACCAAAAAAACGUAUUUUUAAUUCCGAAAAAAGCAACCACGGCCGAUCUGGAUCGAUCCGCUUUGCCAAAAAACAAAAAACAAUAUCAGGUCCUAAUCCGACAAUUAUUGCGACGUUAAUAUCCGAGCAAAUAAUUGCUAUUAUGUUUGUUAACCUAUAUAUUUGCAAUCCUAAACGUUUCAAUUUUAAUAUAAUCUAAUAAGGCGCCAUUUGCGUUUAUUACGUCGCCUACCUUUAAUACCGGUAAAUUAAUUUCGUCCAGCCAAAACGAACAAUAUUCGACCUUAUCGACGGAUUCCAGCUCCCUAAAAGAUUUCUGCAUUACCAAAAAUCCUAACAGUCCAUUGCAACACGUUUUGCUCCUGGAUUUAGGUUUUCCCGGGGCAUUACAACCUAACCCAUUUUAUGUCCCAAAUUUCAAAAGGAGAUUUAUAAAAUUAAUAAACCCUGCGUUUAUUAAAUUACCCGUCGCAAUAUUAAAAUGUAAUUCCUUAGGGGGCGUUAGCCCCCCGAAUAAAAACAGUGCCAAUUUAACAGGGCCUGCGUUACAAAAUAUGUUAGUUAAUAUCAAACAUUUUCCGAAUUUGUUGGAAGGUAAACCAGCUGCGUUUAAUGCAAAUAAUAAUAUAUGGGAGGCCGAAAAACUUUUCGCGAAAUGGGGUUUAAAAAAGAAAUUUUAUUAUUUUGUUAAAUGGAAGGGGUUCCUAUAUAAAAAUAAUACGUGGGAACCACGAGGUAAUAUUAGCGAAAAUUUUAUUAAAAACUUCGAAUCGAAUUUUGAGGGAAAUUAUGCAGGAGUGCGAUUAUUUGAUAAAAAAAAAUGGGCUGGAAACGUUAAAUAUUUGGUAGAAUGGAAGGGUCGACUAAAAGGCGAGAGGUUAUGGGAAAAGACCAAGACGUUGAAUAGCGCACGGGUUCGGGAAUACGAAGCAAGGGCAAAAGAUUUAUAACAAACGUUGAAAUAAACUAAAUAGCCAAUUACGGUUUUCUGGUAGAUCAAUCCUGGAAUUUCAUACGCACCAAGCUGCGUGGAGGUGGCGACAAUAAGCCGCAAAAACGAGUGACCAAAGCUGAUGCACGGCGGUGUGCAUGUACGGUACCGCGAUGAGGUGUAAAAAUGUAUAUAUUAAUACGUGUUCUAAAUUGGGUGCAAAACGCAUCGGAAACGGAAUUGGCUAAGGAAAAGAAGGUUUUCUACUAAAUUACGUAUAAGUUUGUAAAUGUCACGGCCAGGGUUAGCAUAGCAAAGAAACUAGUUUAUUGGUACUUAU
rnacentral:sRNA from 1 species